GAUCCUGGCUCAGGAUGAACGCUGGCGGCGUGCCUAACACAUGCAAGUCGAACGGACUUUUCAUGAAGCCUAGCGAUUGAAAAGUUAGUGGCGGACGGGUGAGUAACGCGUGGGUAACCUGCCUUGUACUGGGGACAACAGUUGGAAACGACUGCUAAUACCGCAUAAGCGCACAGCUUCGCAUGAAGCAGUGUGAAAAACUCCGGUGGUACAAGAUGGACCCGCUUCUGAUUAGCUGGG
rnacentral:rRNA from 1 species